rnacentral:rRNA from 1 species
GGAAUCAUUUGGAAACAUAUGAGUGCCUCGCAAGAGGAGCCCGAUGACAGGUGCUGCAUUGGCUGUCGUCAGCUCGUGUCGUGAGAUGUUGGGUUAAGUCCCGCAACGAGCGCAACCCUUUGUCUUUAGUUGCCAUCAUUAAGUUGGGCACUCUAAAGAGACUGCCGGUGUCAAACCGGAGGAAGGUGGGGAUGACGUCAAGUCCUCAUGGCCUUUAUGACCAGGGCUACACACGUACUACAAUGGCAGGUACAAAGGGCAGCGACACAGCGAUGUGAUGCGAAUCCCGAAAAGCCUGCCUCAGUCCGGAUCGGAGUCUGCAACUCGACUCCGUGAAGUUGGAAUCGCUAGUAAUCGUGGAUCAGCAUGCCACGGUGAAUACGUUCCCGGGCCUU